rnacentral:rRNA from 1 species
UAGGGAAUCUUCCACAAUGGGCGCAAGCCUGAUGGAGCAACACCGCGUGAGUGAAGAAGGUUUUCGGAUCGUAAAACUCUGUUGUUAAAGAAGAACACGUAUGAGAGUAACUGUUCAUACGUUGACGGUAUUUAACCAGAAAGUCACGGCUAACUACGUGCCAG